GAUGAACGCUAGCGGCAGGCCUAACACAUGCAAGUCGAGGGGCAGCACAUAAAGUGGUUUACUACUUUUGGUGGCGACCGGCGGACGGGUGCGUAACGCGUAUGCAACCUGCCUCCAACAGGGGGAUAACGGAGAGAAAUUUCCACUAAUACCCCAUAAUAUCAGAAUCGGCAUCGGUUUUGGUUGAAAACUCCGGUGGUUGGAGAUGGGCAUGCGUUGUAUUAGAUAGUUGGUGAGGUAACGGCUCACCAAGUCAACGAUACAUAGGGGGACUGAGAGGUUAGCCCCCCACACUGGUACUGAGACACGGACCAGACUCCUACGGGAGGCAGCAGUGAGGAAUAUUGGUCAAUGGGGGCAACCCUGAACCAGCCAUGCCGCGUGCAGGAAGACGGCUCUAUGAGUUGUAAACUGCUUUUACAAGGGGAUAAAUCGGUGUACGUGUACACCGUUGAAGGUACCUUGGGAAUAAGGAUCGGCUAACUCCGUGCCAGCCGCCGCCGUAA
rnacentral:rRNA from 1 species